GAUGAACGCUAGCUACAGGCUUAACACAUGCAAGUCGAGGGGAAACGACAUCGAAAUCUUGCUUUUGAUGGGCGUCGACCGGCGCACGGGUGAGUAACGCGUAUCCCACCUGCCCAUCACUUGAGAAUAACCUUGCGAAAGUAAGACUAAUACCCAAUGAUAUCCCACGAAGGCAUCGGAAUGGGAUUAAAGAUUUAUCGGUGAUGGAUGGGGAUGCGUCUGAUUAGCUUGUUGGCGGGGUAACGGCCAACCAAGGCAACGAUCAGUAGGGGUUCUGAGAGGAAGCUACCCCACAUUGGAACUGAGACACGGACCACACUGCUACGGGACGCAGCAGUGUGGAAUACAGGUGAAGGGGCGAGAGCCUGACCACGCCAAGUAGCGUGCAGGAAGCCGGCCAUCUGGGUUGUAAACUGCUUUUAAAAGAGAAUAAAGUGAGUAACGUGUGACUUUUUGACUGUACCUUAUGAAUAAGGACCGGCUAAUUACGUG
rnacentral:rRNA from 1 species